rnacentral:snRNA from 1 species
UAGCUCGCUUCGGCAGCACAUAUAUUAAAAUUGGAACAAUACAGAGAAGAUUAUCAUGGCCCCUGCGCAAGGAUGACAUGCAAAUUCGUGAAGCGUUUCAUAUUUUU